GACGAACGCUGGCGGCGUGCUUAACACAUGCAAGUCGAGCGGUAAGGCCCUUUCGGGGGUACACGAGCGGCGAACGGGUGAGUAACACGUGGGUGACCUGCCCUUAGCUCUGGGAUAAGCCUGGGAAACUGGGUCUAAUACCGGAUAUGACUCCAUGACGCAUGUUGUGGGGUGGAAAGCCUUGUGCGGCUAGGGAUGGGCCCGCGGCCUAUCAGCUUGUUGGUGGGGUGAUGGCCACCAAGGCGACGACGGGUAGCCGGCCUGAGAGGGCGACCGGCUACACUGGGACUGAGACACGGCCCAGACUCCUACGGGAGGCAGCAGUGGGGAAUCUUGCGCAAUGGGCGAAAAGCCUGACGCAGCGACGCCGCGUGAGGGAUGACGGCCUGU
rnacentral:rRNA from 1 species